CAAAUCUUUUUGGUAAUAUGAGCAAAGAAUCUUGCAUUGUAGAAAGCAAGCGGGAAAACAUAGGUGUCCACUGUCUAUAUAAACUAGCAAAGAAGAACAGCAAUUGCACAACCAUUCUGCAUUAAUUUCCUCUUCAUACAUGAGACUUUGUUGAAAUACAUAGGCGUCCACUGUCUAUAUAAACUAGCAAAGAAGAACAGCAAUUGCACAACCACCCUGCAUCAAUUUCCUCUUCAUAUCUAUUCUCAACUUCAUUGGUAGUGACACUGAACAAUAAUUUGCGAUGUGCUUCAAAUGUAUGCAAAUUCAGGAACAUUGAAGCAAAUUAUUCUCUCCAUAGUGCUCAAGUCGAUGACAGUUGGCAUGCUAAUGCUAUUUUCCAACAAAACAUUAUUUAAACUAUUUUUUUACUAUAAGCAAGGUGAUGACUAGAGUUUUUUAUACUUCAGUAUAGCAGGACAUUUGUUAAUCUGGGAAUUUCACAUUUUUCUCCUUCUUUCUAUUUUUUUUUUUUUUUGUAAUUUCCUAUGCCAUUUGGGACUCAAGUAUAUAAUUAUAAAAAUUGAAGAUAUUUCUAAUAUAAAAAAAAUUAUCAUUCCUUUCAUCAGAUAUGCUUUUCAGCAUUAUUACAGUUUUUAGUUUUUUUUUUGGAACUCAUGGAUAAUUAGCUUUACUAUAUUUGUUGGUGCAUUGAGUAACUUAUUUGAUUUUAGUUUUCCUAGCCCAGUGAAUAUGUAAUUUACUGCAUUCUCCGCCUUUUUAAAGAUAAAAAAAUUGUUUUCUUAUGAAGUAAUGAUAAAUAAAAAUCUGAGAAUAGAAAUUUAGGAAAGAAUGAGUGCAAAUAUACAACUCAUAUUAUUAAUUGUAUGUAAAAAUUGAUUAAAAA